ACUGAUUGCUUCACAUGUUUACAGCUAAAAACAACAGAGAAAACGUGAGGAAACUACUUGCAUUGUGACUGGGAGGCCACAACACGAGUAUUUGUGUGGUAUCGUUCCUGUUCAUCG
rnacentral:lncRNA from 1 species